CUUCUCCAAGAGACCGAGGACCCGGGGAGCAGCGGCGGAGGCGAGGGCGGACGGAGGGAGGAAGGCGCCGCCCGGAUCUUCGGCUCCGGCUCCAUUCGGGAGGGCACUGGAGGGGGCCUGCGGCGCGGCCGCGAGCCGGCGGGGCUCGGCCCGGAGCUGGGCCGCACGAAGGGGGCCCGUCCGGUGCCAGAGAGGCUGAAGUCGCAGGAACAUGCGCUCGGCGCGGGCCGCGCGCGCCCACCUACCGGACCACGGGCGCGGCCGCCUCCCGCGGGCUCCGCGAGCGCCCGGCCGCCGUCCAUGGCCCCCGCCUCGGGCCCGAAGCUCAGCCGGCGCCCCAGACGAGGCCCCGCCGCCCGCUCCAUUCCCCUCCUCACGCCUCAGCUGCUGCUGGGCGCCGCCAUCAUAGAGGGUGAUCGCGGACUACGGACUGAUGAGACGAGGUAUCUAGGGGACUGUCGUCCAAGGCCGCCAACUCCAGGGAAUGUCAGGAAACAAAGAGGCAUUUCCCCACACAAAACCCUUGCACGUUUAAGCCUGUCUUGCUGUCUACCUCUCAGAGGACACUUGAGCCAAGGCACGAAGCCAUGAAAGAACAGAGCCAGAGAAAGAGGACUUCCUUCCUGGUUGCGGGUGCACGAAUGGCUUCUCCAGCACCAGACUCCUGCCCUAGUGCUCGCCCACAGCACAGAGCCGCCAACAGCUUCCUCCAGCAGCCCCCUCAGGCAAGGCCCUAGCUGAACGCCUCCCAUAAGGUCCCUCCCCUCGAACGCCUUUCUCGGCCCCAAAAGGGUGGAUUUCCAUAAAGUUCCAGAGUGCACCUUUCCUGUGAAUUUGUG
rnacentral:lncRNA from 1 species